rnacentral:rRNA from 1 species
ACAAAACCCGGAGGGAAGGUGGGGAUGACGUCAAGUCAUCAUGGCCCUUACGGCCUGGGCUACACACGUGCUACAAUGGUCGGUACAAAGGGUUGCCAAGCCGCGAGGUGGAGCUAAUCCCAUAAAACCGACCGUAGUCCGGAUCGCAGUCUGCAACUCGACUGCGUGAAGUCGGAAUCGCUAGUAAUCGUGAAUCAGAAUGUCACGGUGAAUACGUUCCCGGGCCUU